UACGGAGGGUGCAAGCGUUAUCCGGAUUCACUGGGUUUAAAGGGUGCGUAGGCGGGCAGGUAAGUCCGUGGUGAAAUCUCUGAGCUUAACUCAGAAACUGCCAUGGAUACUAUUUGUCUUGAAUAUUGUGGAGGUAAGCGGAAUAUGUCAUGUAGCGGUGAAAAUGCUUAGAUAUGACAUAGAACACCAAUUGCGAAGGCAGCUUACUACACGAUCAUUGACGCUGAGGCACGAAAGCGUGGGGAGCAAACAGG
rnacentral:rRNA from 1 species